GGGGAGGGGAGGAGGACGGUCCCUUACAGGGAGGGGUCACACACGGGGGUCAGCACCAGGUGAGCAGGCUCCGACACGGGGCAGAACAUUGUUGUCGUCUGGCGGGGGGAAAUAUCAACGGAUUAGUCCAUGUUGGGGAAACAAGGCGUUGAGACAACACACACACACACAGACAUAGAACAGCUGUUCCACAACCAACUGCAUGUAGGUGAGCAGCGCUCCCACAUCAGCGACAAAACAAAACUCCUAAAGAGAACCAUCAUGUUAUGUUUGCGGCCAGAAUGAAUGAUUAACCACCGCGUGGAUACUCUGUUCUCUCGUCAACAAAAGGUGCCACACACAGACACACAAGUGUCACUGUCAACUGUCCCACUUCCCCACAAAGUCAAAGCCAGUGCAUGCGAUGGACAUGAACAGUCCCUAAAUUCACAGGAACUUCCAUUUAAUUUAAUCAAUAUUGCAGCCUCAUACAUCAGGCAACAGAAAAGAGAACCACAAACUUCCACCACUGCAACUUUGGCUAGCCUCCAGCCUUACUCUCACCUUGACCCUGUGAGUCCUACUCAUAAUUCACGUUUUUCCUUUGUGGUGGCGGGUGUGUUGCGUGGUUGGGAUGCUUCAGCUGUGUGUCUCCUCUCCCAUCCCAUGCGGGGCAGGGUCGGUGAGUCUGUGUGUCCGUGAGUCAGCGGAGGGCAGGGGCUCCGCAGACAAUGGGGGGGGCUGAGUUGGCACAAAGCUGACAGCCUGGAGCCCGUGGAGGCCUGCAGGUAUGCGGUGUAUGUGUGUGGCUCGCUGAAAAGAGCCGCGCGUGGAAUGCGCUGUCAGUCGGCCGAGGCCUGAUAUUGUUUCAGAGGGUUCACGUCCCAAAGUAGGCCACACGAGUCAAGCCCAUCGCAAGACCUGUCUGAUGACGAAGGUGACGCAUGAAUAACCACUUCAUUCCUACAUGCUUAGAUUCGAGAUGACAUCAAAGAGGAUGAGGGGAAAGUAAUCCAUGACCAGUGAGUGCUCCACCUCAACCCUCCCUCCACCUCCCUCCCCCCUCCCCAUCCUCGAGCUCCCCUGAGAGGACCUCCUCCUACUCCAGCCCGCGCGCUGCUCGCUGCAUGACGGAGCAGAUGUUCCGCCCUAAGAUCCGUGACUCGAAC
ensembl:lncRNA